rnacentral:rRNA from 1 species
UAUUCCCGCUCCAAUAGCGUAUAUUAAAGUUGUUGCAGUUAAAAAGCUCGUAGUUGGAUCUCGGGUCCGGGCUCGCGGUCCCCCUCGCGGUGGUUACUGCCCGUCCCGACCUACCUACCCGGUUUUCCCUUGGUGCUCUUAACUGAGUGUCUCGGGUGGCCGGGAACGUUUACUUUGAAAAAAUUAGAGUGUUCAAAGCAGGCGCUUCGCCUGAAUAAUGUUGCAUGGAAUAAUGGAAUAGGACCUCGGUUCUAUUUUGUUGGUUUUCGGAACUCGAGGUAAUGAUUAAGAGGGACAGACGGGGGCAUUCGUAUGAUGGUGUUAGAGGUGAAAUUCUUGGAUCGCCGUCAGACGAACUACUGCGAAAGCAUUUGCCAAGAAUGUUUUCAUUAAUCAAGAACGAAAGUCAGAGGUUCGAAGACGAUCAGAUACCGCCCUAGUUCUGACCAUAAACGAUGCCGACUAGCGAUCCGCCGGAGUUGUUUCAAUGACCCGGCGGGCAGCUUCCGGGAAACCAAAGUCUUUGGGUUCCGGGGGAAGUAUGGUUGCAAAGCUGAAACUUAAAGGAAUUGACGGAAGGGCACCACCAGGAGUGGAGCCUGCGGCUUAAUUUGACUCAACACGGGAAAGCUUACCCGGCCCGGACACCGUAAGGAUUGACAGAUUGAGAGCUCUUUCUUGAUUCGGUGGGUGGUGGUGCAUGGCCGUUCUUAGUUGGUGGAGCGAUUUGUCUGGUUAAUUCCGAUAACGAACGAGACUCUAGCCUAUUAAAUAGUUCGCCGAUUUCGAUCUGUCGGCGUUAACUUCUUAGAGGGACAAGUGGCUUUUAGCCACGCGAGAUUGAGCAAUAACAGGUCUGUGAU